rnacentral:rRNA from 1 species
AACGUAGGAGACAAACGUUAUCCGGGGUUACUGGGCGUAAAGGGCGUGUAGGCGGUUUGUUAAGUCUGGCGUGAAAGCUCUCGGCUAACCGGGAGAGGUCGUUGGAUACUGGCAGACUAGAGGACGGUAGAGGCGUGUGGAAUUCCGGUGUAGUGGUGAAAUGCGUAGAGAUCCGGAGGAACACCAGUGGCGAAGGCGACACGCUGGCCGUACCUGACGCUGAGGAGCGAAAGCCAGGGGGAGCAACGGG